GUGGUCUGAGAGACAGCAACUAGUGUUUUAGACCCUAAUGGGUUUAGUCUGGUACCAGACUGCUCAACUCUGACCAAAAGUUACACUUGAGUAGAUCUUUGAUUUCCUCAUGCAGUUGCAGGUGUGAACAUGCUAGUAGUUACCUGAUGUGCAUGUGUGAUGCUGCGCACACAU